ensembl:lncRNA
CAUGGCUGGGGCAAGGGCAUCAGAAAAUGCUUUUCAUAAAAGCAGAUAAUGGGCUCAAUGGUAGGAGUGCCAGCACUCAGGAGGUUCCAGCAGCCCUCACCUCCAGCCUGGGGUCGCUAUACUCAUGGCCAUGCGUCGGUGCACAGGAAGUGAUAAGCAAGUCUGUUUUGAGAGCUGACAGCUGCCACAAGCCCUUUCUACAGCAUCCCCUGGAUGAGAUGGAUCCACCCAGCGGUAACUAAGGAUGCUCCUUCAGUACAAAGGACAGUGCCCGAGGGCCGGCUGCUGACCCCAUCUCUAUGCCUAGCAACAGCCAC